rnacentral:tRNA from 1 species
GGGCGCAUAGCUCAGUUGGUUAGAGUACUUGCAUGACACGCAAGGGGUCGGGGGUUCGAAUCCCUCUGUGCCCA